CAAUAGCGUAUAUUAAAGUUGUUGCAGUUAAAAAGCUCGUAGUUGGACUUGUGGCGUACGGUGUGUUCCGGGCACUUGUUGUCUGAGUAACCUGCUGUUGCCAUCCUUGGGUGGAACCUGUGUGGCAUUAGGUUGUCGUGCAGGGGAUGCCCAUCAUUUACUGUGAAAAAAUUAGAGUGUUCAAAGCAGGCUUAUGCCGUUGAAUAUAUUAGCAUGGAAUAAUGAGAUAGGACUUUUUUGCUAUUUUGUUGGUUUGCGCAAAGAGGUAAUGAUUAAUAGGGACAGUUGGGGGUAUUCGUAUUCCAUUGUCAGAGGUGAAAUUCUUGGAUUUUUGGAAGACGAACUACUGCGAAAGCAUUUACCAAGGACGUUUUCAUUAA
rnacentral:rRNA from 1 species